UAUUUAUUUUCCACAGGUGGGAUUUGUGGUCAAAUAUGGGUGUUUCCAUUCAACCUACCACGUUCCACAGAUUUUAUCAGGUUUUUCCCGGGCAUAUUUUCUCUUGUUCUCUUUCAUUCUCUACUAAACACAUGUGGAAGCAAGACUCAAGACUGGGAAUACACACUAGUGGCGGGAGAUGCCACCCCAGUUUCCUGGACCAGAAAAUGAAGUACGGUGUUAUCAGUUAGGAAAACUGCACAUGACAGUACUCAGUCAAAGCAGCAUUUUGUUUCAUGGAACGAGAAGUCUGGAGGCAGGAAGCUGCUGGCCCUGGUUCAGCCCCACAAUGUCUGGAGGACCCUUUCUGUCUUUGUCUUUUGGUCACGCCCUUCUUAGCAUGGGGGUCUUCUGUCAUCAUGCUUGUCACUUUGGGACGACUUAUUCCUUGUGGCUUCUACCAAAUGUCCUGAGAGAGCAUCUAUUGGACCACCUGCACUGUCCACUGGAGGAGGUGCCCUUGUGGGGCGGGGUGCUGGCUCACAGCCACCCCACCCUCUGGCUGGCCUAGCAAUGGCUUCCUUGGCCAAUGAGUGUGUGAGCAGGGGGACGGGUCAGGGACUACCACUCUUGUCACUCUUGAACAGAAGAAGGGGAGAGUGGAUGAGGUAGGCUCCCUGAGGCGACAGAGGAGGUAAUGAAACAGUGUCCAGUCUGGAUCCUCAGGCUCUCUGCUGCGCUGUGUCAAACUGGCCAUUUUUGGGGGGGAGGUGGUGCAGCUGUUUUCAUCUUUAUCAAGAGUUGUCUCUCAUUUGCUCAAAGUUAAAGCCCUAAAAGUUUUCUGCUCUACCCGAGUGUCCGAAAACUGGAAUAAAAACACAAAACCCCUGCA
rnacentral:lncRNA from 12 species